rnacentral:rRNA from 1 species
GACGAACGCUGGCGGCGUGCUUAACACAUGCAAGUCGAACGGAAAGGCCAUGCUUUUGUGGGGUGCUCGAGUGGCGAACAGGUGAGUAACACGUGAGUAACCUGCCCUUGACUUUGGGAUAACUUCAGGAAACUGGGGCUAAUACCGGAUAGGAGCUCCUGCUGCAUGGUGGGGGUUGGAAAGUUUCGGCGGUUGGGGAUGGACUCGCGGCUUAUCAGCUUGUUGGUGGGGUAGUGGCUUACCAAGGCUUUGACGGGUAGCCGGCCUGAGAGGGUGACCGGCCACAUUGGGACUGAGAUACGGCCCAGACUCCUACGGGAGGCAGCAGUGGGGAAUAUUGCACAAUGGGCGGAAGCCUGAUGCAGCAACGCCGCGUGCGGGAUGACGGCCUUCGGGUUGUAAACCGCUUUCGCCUGUGACGAAGCGUGAGUGACGGUAAUGGGUAAAGAAGCACCGGCUAACUACGUG